GCCCCGUUGGUCUAACGGUGAGGAUAGCGGGCUUUCAAUCCGCUGAUGAGGGUUCGAUUCCCUCACGGGGUG
rnacentral:tRNA from 1 species